UACUUUGAUGAAGUCAACGUUAAAUUAACAACAUACAGUCAUACUUCUUUUCUUCUUUUAAAUAGGGACAAAUCAUUUGCUAUGUGGUGUCAUUUUUUUAAAAUAAUGUUGCAGGAAAAAAUAAAAAUCAGUACAAAGGAUACAUGUGUUAAAAAGUUAUAUAGCAGAUUUUGAUGACCCCUAUUUAUUCACUUGGGGAUAUGGUUACAGAAGUUAGGGUUAGGGUUUUCAGGCUCCCAAAACGGCAGCUCUGUGUGAACAAAAUGUCCAGGUCAUU